rnacentral:rRNA from 1 species
UACGUAGGGUGCAAGCGUUAAUCGGAAUUACUGGGCGUAAAGCGUGCGCAGGCGGUUUUGUAAGUCUGUCGUGAAAUCCCCGGGCUCAACCUGGGAAUUGCGAUGGAGACUGCAAGGCUGGAGUCUGGCAGAGGGGGGUAGGAUUCCACGUGUAGCAGUGAAAUGCGUAGAGAUGUGGAGGAACACCGAUGGCGAAGGCAGCCCCCUGGGUCAAGACUGACGCUCAUGCACGAAAGCGUGGGGAGCAAACAGG